rnacentral:rRNA from 1 species
AACGGCCGCGGUAUCUUAACCGUGCAAAGGUAGCAUAAUCAAUUGUCUCUUAAAUUGGGACUAGUAUGAACGGCACCACGAGGGUUUAACUGUCUCCCCCUUUUAAUCAAUGAAAUUAAUCUUCCCGUGAAGAACCGGGAAUACAGCUAUAAGACGAGAAGACCCCGUGGAGCUUUAAACUUAUUAUCACUUAUUUACUAAUACAACAUGCUACAAGAUAAAAAUGUCUCAAAUAGUUUUUGGUUGGGGCGACCCUGGAGAAAAGUAAAUCCUCCAGAUCGAAAGGGUUAACUACCCUCAUAUAAGAACCACAAUUCAAAUAAACAAAAAUUUGACAAAACUGACCCAGAAUUAACUGAUCAGUGAACCAAGUUACCCCGGGGAUAACAGCGCAAUCCAUUUCAAGAGCCCAUAUCGACAAAUGGGUUUACGACCUCGAUGUUGGAUCAGGGGAUCCUAGCAGCGCAGCAGUUGCUAAUGGUC